rnacentral:rRNA from 1 species
UGGGGAUUAUUGCACAAUGGGCGAAAGCCUGAUGCAGCGACGCCGCGUGAGGGAUGACGGCCUUCGGGUUGUAAACCUCUUUCAGUAGGGUCGAAGCGCAAGUGACGGUACCUGCAGAAGAAGCACCGGCUAACUACGUGCCAGCAGCCGCGGUAAUACGUAGGGUGCGAGCGUUGUCCGGAAUUACUGGGCGUAAAGAGCUCGUAGGCGGUUUGUCACGUCGUCUGUGAAAUCCUAGGGCUUAACCCUGGACGUGCAGGCGAUACGGGCUGACUUGAGUACUACAGGGGAGACUGGAAUUUCUGGUGUAGCGGUGGAAUGCACAGAUAUCAGGAAGAACACCGAUGGCGAAGGCAGGUCUCUGGGUAGUAACUGACGCUGAGGAGCGAAAGCAUGGGUAGCGAACAGG